AGCUUUGCACAGUGGCAGCAUCGUAGCCAAUGAAGUUUAUCUGAGGCGGGAUUAUUGCUAAUUAAAAGCUUUUUCAAUACCCUGCCAUGGCGACUUGAAAUAUAGUCGGCAUUGGCAAUUUUUGGCAGUCUCUAUGGGGA